ACUCCUGUUGGUCCAACCAUGACAUACCCCACUGGAAGAUUGAAUCUCCCACCCCCCUAUAUGUUGAACCCCAAGUCAGAGCCACUGCCCCAUCAUUUGUGCCCCCUCGUGGCAAGAUCUUUGUGCCCCGAGGGGAGGAAAAGUAUUUUGUGGAGUGGUAGGAGAACUCCUAAGCACUCCAAAAACAGACUCUGAGGAGGUAAGCAAAAUGGCUGAAGAACUUUUAUCACCUCAAGCCUCAGCUUACCCAAUCAGAGAGCAGUUUAUUCCAGGCACAAAUGGUCAGGAUUUCUCUCAUCAGUCCCUAAGCCCCAUAUGGGUUUGUAAAUGAGCUGUACAAUAUCACGGUCAGUUAUAACUCCACGUGGAGGGAUCUGCUGCAGAUAAUAAGAGUUGUGGAUGGUCAAAUAGACACCACUGCCAUCUGUACUAAACUUACCUUGCCACUUAAUCCAUCAGAGGUAGAGAAUACCCCACUUAGGGCUUUGGAAUAUGUCAACCAACUCAAGAAUAAAAUUACGGAGGUAUUCCCUCCACAGUCUUGGGUCCGGGUGACAAAUAUCCAGCAAAAGGCUAAAGAACCAGUGGAAGACUACUUUGAAAGAUUUAGGCAGACUGUGGAAGAGGCAGGAGGUAACCUUGAUGACUAAGGUAUGGAAAAGAUGCUCACUGCCACAUUGGUGUCUGGACUGAAUAAAGAAAUCCAUGACAAAUUGGUUUCUGCCCAUUCUGAUUGGAGAGAC